rnacentral:lncRNA from 1 species
CACAUUGUGUGCUUUAUAUAGAAGUCUAAACUAACAACUCUACUAAACAAGUGCAAGUCUAAUAACAACUGAUUCCUAUUUUUCUGUACAUAUUUUGAAUUUAAACUUCACAACUAGCUAUCAAUAAUCUUUGUAGUAGUUUCUGCAAUCUUGGACUCAUUUUGAAUGUGUGACUCAACACGCCCUUGCAAUCGAAUGGGAAGGUGUUGAACAAGAAGAUUGUCUUUCAACAAUAAAAAUCGUCGAGAGCUUAAAGGCUUAGUCAGAAGAUCCGCAAUUUGAUCCUUGGAAGAAAUGAAACAAACUGAAAGUUGUCUUUUAAGAACUUGAUCUCUAACAUGAUGGAAAUCAAUUUCAAUAUGCUUUGUUCUAGCAUGGAAGACAGAAUUUGCACUCAAAUAUGUUGCACCAAUAUUAUCACACCAUAGUCGAGGUGAACCAGAAAAUGGCAAACCAAUUUCAGAGAUGAGAAAUUGAAUCCACUGUAGUUCAGCAGCAGUGUUUGAUAGAGAUUCAUACUCAGCUUAAGUGCUACUACGAGCGACGCUAGGCUAUUGUUUGCAGGUCCAGCUAAUGAGGUUUUGGUCGUGAAAUAUGCAAUAGGCACCAAUAGAACGUCGAUCAUCUGGAUCAGAUGCCUAGUCUGCGUCGGUAAAUGCCUGAAGUUCAUGAGAGUAUCUGGCAAAUAGGAACAGGCCAUUGGAAAUAGAGUGCUUGUGAUACCGUAGUAUCCUCUUGACAGCUUGCCUGUGAGGAACCUUUGGUGAGUGCAUGAAUUUGCUGACACGGUGAACAGCAUAGGCUAUGUUAGGUCGGGUAUAAGAAAGAUAUUGGAGUCCACCUACUAUGCUGCGAUACAGUUGAGCAUCUUCAAAUGGAGCACCUUCAUGUUUGGACAAAGUACAAGUGGUGGACAUUGGUAUAGUACAUAGUUUCACUUUGUCCAUAGCAGCCCGAACCAAAAGAUCAAAGAUAUAUUUCCUCUACAGUUAACCACAUACCAUGAUCAGUUCUGAUAGCCUCAAUGCCAAGGAAGAAUGAAAGAUUCCCUAAUUCUUUUACAGGAAAUUCUUGACCAAGGAAUGUGAUAUAGUGUUGUAUUAUCAUCUCAUCGGACCCGUGACAAUGAUAUCAUCUACAUAGAUAAGAAAAUAAACCCACAAAUCACCAUGGUCAAGAAUAUAUAAAGAGCUAUCUGAUUUGCACCCUUUGAACCCAAGUGAAACUAGCUUGUCUAUGAGACGAGAAAACCAGGCCAUUGCACCUGACAGAGACCAUAAAGACUCUUUUGCUGCUUACACAAGUAGGAGGGAUAGUCUGGAUGAAUAUAACGGGGUUGAGACAUGUAGACAUCCUCAUGAAGAUUGCCANGUCGGGUAUAAGAAAGAUAUUGGAGGCGACCUACUAUGCUGCGAUACAGUUGAGCAUCUUCAAAUGGAGCACCUUCAUGUUUGGACAAAGUACAAGUGGUGGACAUUGGUAUAGUACACGGUUUCACUUUGUCCAUAACAGCCUGAACCAAAAGAUCAAAGAUAUAUUUCCUCUGAGUUAACCACAUACCAUGAUCAGUUCUGAUAGCCUCAAUGCCAAGGAAGAAUGGAAGAUCCCCUAAUUCUUUUACAGAAAAUUCUUGACCAAGGAGUGUGAUAUAGUGUUGUAUUGUCAUCUUAUCGGACCCCGUGACAAUGAUAUCAUCUACAUAGAUAAGAAAAUAAACCCGUAAAUCACCACGGUCAAGAAUAUAUAUAAAGAGCUAUCUGAUUUGCACCCUUUGAACCCAAGUGAAACUAGCUUGUCUGUGAGAUGAGAAAACCAGGCCCUUGGCAUCUAACAGAGGCCAUAAAGACUCUUUUGCUGCUUACACAAGUAGGAGGGAUAGUCUGGAUGAAUAUAACUAGAGGUUGAGACAUGUAGACAUCCUCAUGAA